rnacentral:rRNA from 1 species
UACGUAGGGUGCGAGCGUUAAUCGGAAUUACUGGGCGUAAAGGGCGCGUAGGCGGCCUGCUAAGUCAUACGUGAAAUCCCUCGGCUCAACCGGGGAACUGCGUGUGAUACUGGCGGGCUUGAAUUCGGGAGAGGGAUGCGGAAUUCCAGGUGUAGCGGUGAAAUGCGUAGAUAUCUGGAGGAACACCGGUGGCGAAGGCGGCAUCCUGGACCGAGAUUGACGCUGAGGCGCGAAAGCCAGGGGAGCAAACGGG